AGAGUUUGAUCCUGGCUCAGAACGAACGCUGGCGGCGCGUUUUAAGCAUGCAAGUCGAACGAUAGUACGGUGCUUGCACCGUAUGAGAGUGGCGAACGGGUGAGUUACACGUAGGUGAUUUACCUUUGGUUUUGGGAUAGCCUGUGGAAACACAGGGUAAUACCGGAUGAGGUUUUCAGGUCAAGGUCUGGAGAUGAAAGGCGCUAAGGCGCCGACUGGAGAUGAGCCUGCGGUCCAUUAGUUAGUUGGUGGGGUAAAGGCCUACCAAGGCGACGAUGGAUAGCCGGCCUGAGAGGGUGGCCGGCCACACUGGAACUGAGACACGGCCCAGACUCCUACGGGAGGCAGCAGCUAAGAAUCUUCCGCAAUGGGGGAAACCCUGACGGAGCGACGCCGCGUGGACGAUGAAGGCCGGAAGGUUGUAAAGUCCUUUUCUUGAUGAAGAAUAAGGUUAAGAGGGAAUGCUUAAUUGAUGACGUUAGUCAAGGAAUAAGCCCCGGCUAAUUACGUGCCAGCAGCCGCGGUAACACGUAAGGGGCGAGCGUUGUUCGGAUUUAUUGGGCGUAAAGGGCGCGUAGGCGGCCCGGAAAGCCUGGUGUUAAAAACAACAGCUUAACUGUUGGUAAGCGCUGGGAACUUUCGGGCUGGAGUUCUGGAGGGGAAGCUGGAAUUCCUGGUGUAGGGGUGAAAUCUGUAGAUAUCAGGAAGAACACCGGUGGCGAAGGCGAGCUUCUGGCCAUGAACUGACGCUGAGGCGCGAAAGCGUGGGGAGCGAACAGGAUUAGAUACCCUGGUAGUCCACGCUGUAAACGAUGUACACUGGGUGUUUGUGGGUUAACCAUGAGUGCCGUAGCUAACGCGUUAAGUGUACCGCCUGGGGAGUAUGCUCGCAAGGGUGAAACUCAAAGGAAUUGACGGGGGCCCGCACAAGCGGUGGAGCAUGUGGUUUAAUUCGACGAUACGCGAGAAACCUUACCAGGGCUUGACAUAUGCAGGGAGGCGUGGGAGACCACGCUGCCUCUUUGAGGUCUGUAUACAGGUGCUGCAUGGUUGUCGUCAGCUCGUGCUGUGAAGUGUUGGGUUAAGUCCCGCAACGAGCGCAACCCCUGCUGUCUGUUGCUAACAGGUAAUGCUGAGGACUCAGACGGUACUGCCGGUGACAAACCGGAGGAAGGUGGGGAUGACGUCAAAUCAUCAUGGCCCUUAUGUCCUGGGCUACACACGUGCUACAAUGGCCUGUACAGAGUGAUGCGAGGCCGUGAGGUGGAGCAAAUCACAGAAAGCAGGUCUCAGUACGGAUUGGAGUCUGAAACUCGGCUUCAUGAAGUUGGAAUCGCUAGUAAUCGCGCAUCAGCAUGGCGCGGUGAAUACGUUCCCGGGCCUUGUACACACCGCCCGUCACACCACCCGAGUUGGGGGUACCCGAAGUCGCUUGUCUAACCUUAACGGGGGACGGUGCCGAAGGUAUGCCUGGUAAGGGGGGUGAAGUCGUAACAAGGUA
rnacentral:rRNA from 1 species